UACGUAGGGUGCGAGCGUUAAUCGGAAUUACUGGGCGUAAAGCGUGCGCAGGCGGUUUUGUAAGCCAGAUGUGAAAUCCCCGGGCUUAACCUGGGAAUGGCAUUUGGGACUGCAAGGCUUGAGUGCGGCAGAGGAGACUGGAAUUCCCGGUGUAGCAGUGAAAUGCGUAGAUAUCGGGAGGAAUACCGAUGGCGAAGGCAGGCCUCUGGGCUGACACUGACGCUCAUGCACGAAAGCGUGGGGAGCAAACAGG
rnacentral:rRNA from 1 species